ACCCCUAACACUCUCAGAUGUUCCAGAAGGAUACUAUGGUCAAUAGUAUUGAAAGCUGCCAAAAGGGAUCUAAUGGGCUAAACAGGCACCGAGUGACACAUAACCCUAGAAUAGACAAACAGGGGAUUGAAGAACCAUGGGGGUGGGUUAAAAAAAAAUUUUAAAUCCCAAAAGACACUAGUCUAUUAUCAAUCUGAAUUUUUGAGUGUCAAUAGGAGGGGGAAAUAGAAGUGUUUCCCCCCCUUAAAUCCAUGUUUCUAGUCACGAACAAUGGGGGACAUUUGGAAGUCUUAUAUCAGUCUCACUUUUGGAGCCAUCUUUACAAGACUUGGACAUCUAAUAGUGCUUCUCGCCUAAUUCAUGUAUAUGAAAUUUGAAGAGUUGGAGUAUAAAGUUUUAUGAGCAAUAAAGUGUGAAAAUCUACAGUGAAAUUUGAACAGAAAAUCAGUAUUUUUUUCUCCUCACUCUUCUCUGCAAUGUCUGACAACAUUCCAAGUCCUUCCAAGCAUAAGGAAAUGAUCCGUCUGCAAAACAGAUAAUUAAAAUGAUCCACCCGCAGCUUUUAAAUGCUUGGGUUUAAUGUUUCUUUGAAUGAACCCAUGGAAAGGUCUGGUAGAAUGAGGAUGACAUCCUG